rnacentral:rRNA from 1 species
GACGAACGCUGGCGGCGUGCCUAACACAUGCAAGUCGAACGGAGUUAAGUGCUUCGGUAUUUAACUUAGUGGCGAACGGGUGAGUAACGCGUGAGAAACCUGCCUUUCAGUGGGGGACAACAGUUGGAAACGACUGCUAAUACCGCAUGAUACUUUUUGGGGGCAUCCCUAAAAAGUCAAAGCUUUAUGUGCUGAAAGAUGGUCUCGCGUCUGAUUAGCUAGUUGGUGAGGUAAUGGCUCACCAAGGCGACGAUCAGUAGCCGGGUUGAGAGACCGACCGGCCAGAUUGGGACUGGGACACAGCCCAG